AAAUAAUCGAAAUUUUUCCUGUAAAAACAUUUAGAUAUUUGUAUGUUAUAUUUACUCACUGAUUCUUAUUUACCCACUGAUUCACUGAUUUAACGAGAAAUAAAUUAUUAUAACUAGUUUUUGUGCAGUUGGUUACUCAAAAAAAUUUAAAAAUGAAUGUGGAUUGAAGUUUUAUAAAUUUCCAUCAGGAAAAUCGCCUUUUGAGAAAAGAAGACGUAUAGACUGGAUUAAAGCUAUUAAUCAUAAGUAUUGGGUCAGUUAGGAAAGUGUAAAAAUUAGUAAAGAACGAGUAUGCAGUGCGCAUUUUGUAUCAGGAAAAUGUUCUGAUGACACAUCUGACAUUGACUGUAGCCUAUCUGUAUUUAAUCACCUUGGAGCUGCUCUGAUUUCUAGUUUGAUUAAAAAAAGGAAGAGAAAAGAUUACUAUAAAGAUUUAUGUAAAAAACGAUUUUUCAAAAAAUCAAUACUGCCAUCUAGCCAAUCGAAUGAUAUAGAGCUCAAUAACUAUAACGAUAAUAUAAAUAUUGACAUAAAUCCACCAAAUGACGAGUCAGCUAUUUCUAAAUUUUUUCAGCAUGAUACUUAUAAAGCAGAAGUAGAAACUCUUAACUUUCAGUUAAUUCAAUACAAAAAUGAAUUGAAUAAGAAAUUUAAUAAAAUUAUUGAACUUAAAAAAAAAUUCCCAGACUAGACCAUAAUGAAUAUAUUUCAUACUAGACUAAAAAGGAGUAGCCAUCUUAUAUGUUUUAAAAAAAAGUUCAAAGACUGUGUCUGUAUUAUUAAUUGUACCAAAGUAUUUAUUGAAAGACCAAAAAAUUUAAUUUCACUAUCACAAACUUGGUCAAAUUAUAAACAUAACAAUACCAUUAAAUAUCUUAUCCGUAUUACACCACCUGGGGCAGUUAGUUUUCAUACAGACAGAUAACGUUUAAAUCAAACUUUAUUCAGAAGCUUAAUCCUGGCAACUUUGUUUUUGCUGAAAGAGGAUUCAAGAUUAAAGACAAACUAAAUGCUGUUGGGGCAACGUUGAAAAUUCCAGCAUUUACGAAAGGUAAACAACAAUUAUCUGGAUGGGAAGUGGAAACAUCUAAACAGAUAUCUCAUUUUCACAUACAUGUGGAAUGAGAGGUUGGUCAAAUAAAAAAGUUUUGCAUUAUUCAUAUGACUGUGCCAAUCACUCAAGUGGAUUUAUUAGAUGAUAUUAUGAUUAUUUUUUACGCUCUUGUAAAUCUCAAUAUGAGUGUAGUUACUUGAUUAAUGUAAAUAUAAAAACAAACUUA